CUUCAACGGAGGUACCCAGUCGGGGUGCCAGGCGAUCCGUUACAAUCAGGAAUUUAGAAAAUAUACAUAAACACCACACCACAUUCAAUACCAAAUGGAAUUGGUGACAAAAAGUUCAGAACUGCAGCAAAUACUAAACACCCAGGUGAAACGCAAACUCCUCCGGACGAAACAAUCCUACUAUGCAAUGGACAAGAGAUGUGGGCGCCUACUGGCACAAGCCCUCAAAUAAACUCAUCGAACAACAUAUAUCGCUAAUAUUAAACACCACAGUAAAGGUCUAUUACAUACCCUCCCAGACAUAAUGGAAGCCUUCUAUAAAUGUUUAUUCUGACCUAUAUAACCUAAGAGACACACCGCCAACACAGACGGAAAUAGAGAACUUCCUAAUUCCCAGAUUUAAAAAGAAUGUCCCUCAUCAGACAAUCCCUAGACGCACCUCUUACAGAAGAAGAAUUCCAUAAGACAGUACGCACACUCCCCUUAAACAAGAGCCCAGGACCCGAU